CCUACGGGUGGCUGCAGUGGGGAAUUUUGGACAAUGGGCGCAAGCCUGAUCCAGCCAUGCCGCGUGCGGGAAGAAGGCCUUCGGGUUGUAAACCGCUUUUGUCAGGGAAGAAAUGCUCUGGGCUAAUACCUCGGGGGGAUGACGGUACCUGAAGAAUAAGCACCGGCUAACUACGUGCCAGCAGCCGCGGUAAUACGUAGGGUGCGAGCGGUAAUCGGAAUUGCUGGGCGUGACUCGUGCGCAGGCGGUGAAAUCCCCGGGCUCAACCUGGGAACUGACUUUGUGACUGCAAGGCUUGAGGGCGGCAGAGGGGGAUGGAAUUCCGCGUGUAGCAGUGAAAUGCGUAGAUAUGCGGAGGAACACCGAUGGCGAAGGCAAUCCCCUGGGCCUGCACUGACGCUCAUGCACGAAAGCGUGGGGAGCAAACAGGAUUAGAUACCCCGGUAGUC
rnacentral:rRNA from 1 species